rnacentral:rRNA from 1 species
GUAACAAGGUCUCCGUUGGUGAACCAGCGGAGGGAUCAUUACCGAGUUUACAACUCCCAAACCCAAUGUGAACGUUACCAAACUGUUGCCUCGGCGGGAUCUCUGCCCCGGGUGCGUCGCAGCCCCGGACCAAGGCGCCCGCCGGAGGACCAACCAAAACUCUUUUUGUAUACCCCCUCGCGGGUUUUUUAUAAUCUGAGCCUUCUCGGCGCCUCUCGUAGGCGUUUCGAAAAUGAAUCAAAACUUUCAACAACGGAUCUCUUGGUUCUGGCAUCGAUGAAGAACGCAGCGAAAUGCGAUAAGUAAUGUGAAUUGCAGAAUUCAGUGAAUCAUCGAAUCUUUGAACGCACAUUGCGCCCGCCAGUAUUCUGGCGGGCAUGCCUGUCCGAGCGUCAUUUCAACCCUCGAACCCCUCCGGGGGGUCGGCGUUGGGGAUCGGCCCUCCCUUAGCGGGUGGCCGUCUCCGAAAUACAGUGGCGGUCUCGCCGCAGCCUCUCCUGCGCAGUAGUUUGCACACUCGCAUCGGGAGCGCGGCGCGUCCACAGCCGUUAAACACCCAACUUCUGAAAUGUUGACCUCGGAUCAGGUAGGAAUACCCGCUGAACUUAAGCAUAUCAAUAA